rnacentral:lncRNA from 1 species
AGAUUUAAAAACUAGAGGCUCUAAAGAGCCUGUGUCGCUCACCUUGGUCUAUGUGAAUAUUAAACAAAGGAAGCAGAUGGAUUCAUGACAAAAUUGUAUUUUGGUGAUGGUGAUGUGUUUGUACGUCUUACUUUACUGAACAUUCUUGCUGCUUACAGUUAUCUCUAUCUAUAAUGAACUUUGCCCAGUAGUUUCAGUGGAAAAUGUUAGUAAAAAUUUACAAAUUUUAUAAAAAUUGUUAAAAAUUGACUAUAAAGGACAAUAACUCCUUAGGGGGUCAAUUGACCAUUUCAGUCAUGUUGACUUAUUUGUAAAUCUUACUUUGCUGUACAUUAUUGCUGUUUAAAGUUUAUCUCUAUCUAUAAUAAUAUUCAAGAUAAUAACCAAAACAGUAAAAUUUCCUUAAAAUUACCAAUUUAGGGGCAGCAACCCAACAACGGGUUGUCCGAUUCAUCUGAGAAUUUCAGGGCAGAUAGAUCUUGACCUGAUAAACAAUUUUUUCCAAUGUCAGAUU